UACAGAGGUCCCAAGCGUUGUUCGGAUUCAUUGGGCGUAAAGGGUGCGUAGGUGGCGCCGUAAGUGGGGUGUGAAAUUUCGGAGCUUAACUCCGAAACUGCAUUCCAUACUGCGGUGCUUGAGGACUGGAGAGGAGACUGGAAUUUACGGUGUAGCAGUGAAAUGCGUAGAUAUCGUAAGGAAGACCAGUGGCGAAGGCGGGUCUCUGGACAGUUCCUGACGCUGAGGCACGAAGGCCAGGGGGAGCAAAACGGGG
rnacentral:rRNA from 1 species